UUGCCUGGUUCCACAUGCACUUUAACCUGCUUUAUUUAGGCUUUUGAAAGCAACCUAAAUAGCUAACAUUGACUAAAUAAGUGCAGUAUACCUGGUCUGUGUGACAUUUUGCAGGUAUUAAAAAGUGAACAUUCUGAACCCUUUUAGCAAUAUGGCAAAUACUUCUGAUGUGAUGUAUGCAUAUAAAUAUGAUCGAAAGCAAAUAUCCCAAAAGGUUGAUGGCAGUUAUGUCAGGUUAGUAGCACAAUAGUUUCUUUUCUCAUUUUCUCACAUUUUUAGUAAUGUGUGUUGCCUAUAUUAAAAAACAAAUAUUAAAAAGUAGUAGCAUGUAUUAGAUCAGAGCAUGGGCUCAGACUGCCUGUGUCAUCUCUUAUUAGAUGUAUGACCAGGGACAAGUUAUUGACCUUUUGUUUCUAAGUCUCUAAGUUUAUCCUGUAAAAUGAAGAUAAUUGUAGUAACUACCUAAUAACAUGAUUGUAAGGAUUAAAUUAUUUAGAACACUAUUUGUUACUUGGAAAAUAUGCAAUCAUAAGCUAUUUUGUUGUUAUUGUUAUUUUACUACCAAAGCUUAUUGUUUCAGAGCCCCUAGGUGACCAGGCAAAAUGGCAGUUCCUUCCAGCUGGUCCUCAGAUGGGCACAUCUAUUAGCCUCUGCUCUUGUAAGAAGUUAGCUGCAGAACCCACAUGUGAAUCCUUGUAG
rnacentral:lncRNA from 1 species